ACGGGAGGCAGCAGUGGGGGAUAUUGCACAAUGGGGGAAACCCUGAUGCAGCGACGCCGCGUGAGUGAAGAAGUAUUUCGGUAUGUAAAGCUCUAUCAGCAGGGAAGAUAAUGACGGUACCUGACUAAGAAGCUCCGGCUAAAUACGUGCCAGCAGCCGCGGUAAUACGUAUGGAGCAAGCGUUAUCCGGAUUUACUGGGUGUAAAGGGUGCGUAGGCGGCAUGGCAAGUCAGAUGUGAAAGACCGGGGCUCAACUCCGGGGCUGCAUUUGAACCUGCCAGGCUAGAGUGCAGGAGAGGCAGGCGGAAUUCCUAGUGUAGCGGUGAAAUGCGUAGAUAUUAGGAGGAACACCAGUGGCGAAGGCGGCCUGCUGGACUGUUACUGACGCUGAGGCUCGAAAGCGUGGGGAGCAAACAGGAUUAGAUACCCUGGUA
rnacentral:rRNA from 1 species